CUGGGAGAAGGCUGUUUACUCU
rnacentral:miRNA from 14 species